AGUUUUAUCAUGGCUCAGGAUGAACGCCGGCGGUGUGCCUAAUACAUGCAAGUCGAACGCGUUGGCCCAACUGAUUGAACGUGCUUGCACGGACUUGACGUUGGUUUACCAGCGAGUGGCGGACGGGUGAGUAACACGUAGGUAACCUGCCCCAAAGCGGGGGAUAACAUUUGGAAACAGAUGCUAAUACCGCAUAACAAUUUGAAUCGCAUGAUUCAAAUUUAAAAGAUGGCUUCGGCUAUCACUUUGGGAUGGACCUGCGGCGCAUUAGCUUGUUGGUAGGGUAACGGCCUACCAAGGCUGUGAUGCGUAGCCGAGUUGAGAGACUGAUCGGCCACAAUGGAACUGAGACACGGUCCAUACUCCUACGGGAGGCAGCAGUAGGGAAUCUUCCACAAUGGGCGCAAGCCUGAUGGAGCAACACCGCGUGAGUGAAGAAGGGUUUCGGCUCGUAAAGCUCUGUUGUUAGAGAAGAACGUGCGUGAGAGCAACUGUUCACGCAGUGACGGUAUCUAACCAGAAAGUCACGGCUAACUACGUGCCAGCAGCCGCGGUAAUACGUAGGUGGCAAGCGUUAUCCGGAUUUAUUGGGCGUAAAGCGAGCGCAGGCGGUUUGAUAAGUCUGAUGUGAAAGCCUUUGGCUUAACCAAAGAAGUGCAUCGGAAACUGUCAGACUUAAGUGCAG
rnacentral:rRNA from 2 species